CAAGAUGGCUACGGCAGGGGGUGGCUCUGUGGCUGACCCGGGAAGUCGGGGUCUCCUUCGCCUUCUGUCUUUCUGCGUCCUACUAGCAGGCCUCUUCCUGGACUUCGAGCCUGACCCUCUCCCACUUUGUCCAGAUGUCUCGUUUUUCCCACAACCCCAGCCACCCACCCCACAGUCGAAAGGAACAGGUGUGAAAGUUAGCUUUCUUCCUCGCGUUUAGACUUUUUGAGACGAAAGCAAUCUUGUUCUGUGGGUGCUGUGCGGCGCUUAAAAGGUUUGUGCAGGGGAAACUCAGUGGAGAGGAAGAUAUAUAUCCCCUUAAAUAAAACAGCUCCCUGUGUUCGCCUGCUCAACGCCACUCAUCAGAUUGGCUGCCAGUCUUCAAUUAGUGGAGACACAGGGGUUAUCCACGUAGUAGAGAAAGAAGAGGACCUACAGUGGGUAUUGACUGAUGGCCCCAACCCCCCUUACAUGGUUCUGCUGGAGAGCAAGCAUUUUACCAGGGAUUUAAUGGAGAAGCUGAAAGGGAGAACCAGCCGAAUUGCUGGUCUUGCAGUGUCCUUGACCAAGCCCAGUCCUGCCUCAGGCUUCUCUCCUAGUGUGCAGUGCCCAAAUGAUGGGUUUGGUGUUUACUCCAAUUCCUAUGGGCCAGAGUUUGCUCACUGCAGAGAAAUACAGUGGAACUCGCUGGGCAAUGGUUUGGCUUAUGAAGACUUUAGUUUCCCC
rnacentral:sRNA from 1 species